GGCUUAGUGGCUUAGUGGUUAGCACUGUUGCCUCGCAUCUCUGGGGUUGGGGGUUCGAACCUCGCCUCCGCCC